rnacentral:rRNA from 1 species
UACGGAGGGGGCUAGCGUUGUUCGGAAUUACUGGGCGUAAAGCGCACGUAGGCGGCUUUGUAAGUUAGAGGUGAAAGCCCGGGGCUCAACUCCGGAAUUGCCUUUAAGACUGCAUCGCUAGAAUUGUGGAGAGGUAAGUGGAAUUCCGAGUGUAGAGGUGAAAUUCGUAGAUAUUCGCAAGAACACCAGUGGCGAAGGCGGCCAACUGGUCCGGUACUGACGCUGAGGUGCGAAAGCGUGGGGAGCAAACAGG